rnacentral:rRNA from 1 species
UGAACGCGAAGGACCUUACCAAGGCUUGACAUACACCGGAAAACCCUGGAGACAGGGUCCCCCUUGUGGUCGGUGUACAGGUGGUGCAUGGCUGUCGUCAGCUCGUGUCGUGAGAUGUUGGGUUAAGUCCCGCAACGAGCGCAACCCUUGUCCCGUGUUGCCAGCAGGCCCUUGUGGUGCUGGGGACUCACGGGAGACCGCCGGGGUCAACUCGGAGGAAGGUGGGGACGACGUCAAGUCAUCAUGCCCCUUAUGUCUUGGGCUGCACACGUGCUACAAUGGCCGGUACAAUGAGCUGCGAUACCGCGAGGUGGAGCGAAUCUCAAAAAGCCGGUCUCAGUUCGGAUUGGGGUCUGCAACUCGACCCCAUGAAGUCGGAGUCGCUAGUAAUCGCAGAUCAGCAUUGCUGCGGUGAAUACGUUCCCGGGUCUUGUACACACGCA